CUAACACAUGCAAGUCGAGCGGAAACGAUGGGAGCUUGCUCCCAGGCGUCGAGCGGCGGACGGGUGAGUAACACGUGGGAAUCUGCCCAUUAGUGGGGGAUAACUCGGGGAAACUCGAGCUAAUACCGCAUAAUCCCUACGGGGGAAAGCAGGGGAUUUUCGGACCUUGCGCUGAUGGAUGAGCCCGCGUCGGAUUAGCUUGUUGGUGGGGUAAUGGCCCACCAAGGCGACGAUCCGUAACUGGUCUGAGAGGAUGGCCAGUCACACCGGUACUGAGACACGGCCCGGACUCCUACGGGAGGCAGCAGUGGGGAAUCUUGGACAAUGGGCGCAAGCCUGAUCCAGCCAUGCCGCGUGUGUGAAGAAGGCCUUCGGGUUGUAAAGCACUUUCAGUAGGGAGGAAGGCUUUGGGUUAAUACCCUGGAGUACUUGACGUUACCUACAGAAGAAGCACCGGCUAAUUUCGUGCCAGCAACCGCGGUAAUACGAAAGGUGCGAGCGUUAAUCGGAAUUACUGGCGUAAAGCGCGCGUAGGCGGUGUGUUAAGUCGGAUGUGAAAGCCCAGGGCUCAACCUUGGAAUUGCAUCCGAUACUGGCACGCUAGAGUGCAGUAGAGGGAGGUGGAAUUUCCGGUGUAGCGGUGAAAUGCGUAGAGAUCGGAAGGAACACCAGUGGCGAAGGCGGCCUCCUGGACUGACACUGACGCUGAGGUGCG
rnacentral:rRNA from 1 species